ensembl:snRNA U1 U1 spliceosomal RNA
GUACUUGCCCGGCCGGGGAGAUACCGUGCUCCAGCAGGAGGGUUUCCCAGGGUGAGGCUCCUCCAUUGCACUCCGAGUGUGCUGACUCCUGUGACUUCCCCAAAGGUGGGAAACUUGACUGCAUAAUUGUGGUAGUAGGGGACUGUGCUCAUACUCUCCCAUG